AUUGAACGCUGGCGGCAGGCCUAACACAUGCAAGUCGAACGAGUGGCGGACGGGUGAGUAAUGUCUGGAAACUGCCUGAUGGAGGGGGUUAACUACCGGAAACGGUAGCCAAUACCCCAUACCACUCGAUGUGCCCCGAUGGGAUUAGCUUGUUGGUGGGGUAACGGCUCACCAAGGACACGAUCCCUAGCUGGUCUGAGAGGAUGACCAGCCACACUGGAACUGAGACACGGUCCAGACUCCUACGGGAGGCAGCAGUGGGGAAUAUUGCACAAUGGGCGCAAGCCUGAUGCAGCCAUGCCGCGUGUAUGAAGAAGGCCUUCGGGUUGUAAAGUACUUUCAGCGGGGAGGCGUUACCCGCAGAAGAAGCACCGGCUAACUCCGUGCCAGCAGCCGCGGUAAUUC
rnacentral:rRNA from 1 species